GAUGAACGCUGGCGGCGUGCCUAAUACAUGCAAGUCGAGCGAACGGACGAUAAGCUUGCUUCUCUGAUGUUAGCGGCGGACGGGUGAGUAACACGUGGAUAACCUCCCUAUCAGACUGGGAUCACUUCGGGACACCGGCGCUAAUACCGGAUGAUCUUUUGAACCGCAUGGUUCAAAAGUGAAAGACGGUCUUGCUGUCUCUUCUAGAUGGAUCCGCGCUGCAUUAGCUAGUUGGUAAGGUAACGGCUUACCAAGGCAACGAUGCAUAGCCGACCUGAGAGGGUGAGCGGCAACACUGGAAGUGAGACACGGUCCAGACGGCUAGGGGAGGCAGCAGUAGGGAAGCGUCAAGAAAGGGCGAAAGACGGACGGAGAAACGCCGCGUGAGUGAUGAAGGUCGCCGGAUCGUAAAACACGGUUAUUAGGGAAGAAAACACGUGUAAGUAAGUGGGCACAUCGUGAAGGGAAAUAAGCAGAAAGGCACGGAUAAAUAAGUG
rnacentral:rRNA from 1 species